GCGGUCGUGGCGGAACUGGCAGACGCGCAAGACUAAGGAUCUUGUGGUUAACCCCAUGCAGGUUCAAUUCCUGUCGACCGCACCA
rnacentral:tRNA from 1 species